CGCCGCCACGGGAAUACAGAGGGUGCGAGCGUUAAUCGGAUUUACUGGGCGUAAAGCGUGCGUAGGCGGCUUCUUAAGUCGGAUGUGAAAUCCCUGAGCUUAACUUAGGAAUUGCAUUCGAUACUGGGAAGCUAGAGUAUGGGAGAGGAUGGUAGAAUUCCAGGUGUAGCGGUGAAAUGCGUAGAGAUCUGGAGGAAUACCGAUGGCGAAGGCAGCCAUCUGGCCUAAUACUGACGCUGAGGUACGAAAGCAUGGGGAGCAAACAGGAUUAGAUACCCGGGUAGUCCCUGUCUCUUAUACA
rnacentral:rRNA from 1 species